rnacentral:rRNA from 1 species
GUAUAAGAGACAGCAGCAGCCGCGGUAAUACGUAGGUGGCAAGCGUUGUCCGGAGUUAUUGGGCGUAAAGGGCUCGCAGGCGGUUUCUUAAGUAUGAUGUGAAAGCCCCCGGCUCAACCGGGGAGGGUCAUUGGAAACUGGGAAACUUGAGUGCAGAAGAGGAGAGUGGAAUUCCACGUGUAGCGGUGAAAUGCGUAGAGAUGUGGAGGAACACCAGUGGCGAAGGCGACUCUCUGGUCUGUAACUGACGCUGAGGAGCGAAAGCGUGGGGAGCGAACAGGAUUAGAUACCCCUGUAGUCCCUGUCUCUUAUAC